UACGGAGGGUGCAAACGUUGCUCGGAAUCAUUGGGCGUAAAGCGCACGUAGGCGGCCUGUUAAGUCGGGUGUGAAAGCCCUGGGCUCAACCCAGGAAGUGCACUCGAAACUGGCGGGCUUGAAUAUGGAAGAGGGUCGCGGAAUUCCCGGUGUAGAGGUGAAAUUCGUAGAUAUCGGGAGGAACACCAGUGGCGAAGGCGGCGCACUGGACCACAUCUGACGCUGAGGCGCGAAAGCUAGGGGAGCAAACAGG
rnacentral:rRNA from 1 species